CAAAUUUAUGAAACAUUGAAACCUUGAACCAUUUUGAAGAGGCAAGAGAAACCCAAAACCUUUCUCUAUUACUGAGCUUUGAAGAGGCACAGACUGCAUUUGGAAUCGAGGGAUUGAAACGAAGCAAAGGAUGACAUGUAUAAUGGCAAUAACAAUUGCAAGAUAUAAAGUUCCGUAUUGAUUGUUAUUGAUAUAAUCAUUUUGAUAUUUAUCUUUUGUGACUAAUUUAAUAUAAAUAUAUUAGAUUCUGUAUACUUUUAACACAUUUGUAAUAUUUUAAAUUACAUUGUCAAAAUUAAAUUAAAGUGAUAGUUAACUAAUAUGUUUGUAUCUUAUUGUCUACCAUUGUCACAAUAGCGAGAAGUUCCUAUAUUAUAAACUAUAUUGUCAACUAA